UAUUCAGCAUGGUUGGUGGGGUAUGUGGCUUACAAGGGCUUUGAACGGGGUAGCCGGCCUGAGAAGGUGACCGGCCACAAUUGGGGAACUGAGAUAAGGGCCCCAAGAAUUCCUAACGGGAAGGCAGCAGUGGGGAAUUUUGCACAAUGGGCGGAAGCUUGAUGCAGCAACGCCGCGUGCGGGAUGAACGCCAUCGGGUUGUAAACCGCUUUAGCCUGUGACGAAGCGUGAGUGACGGUCAUGGGUAAAGAAGCACCCGGCUGACUACGUGCCAGCAGCCGCGGUGAUACGUAGGGUGCGAGCGUUGUCCGGAUUUAUUGGGCGUAAAGGGCUCGUAGGUGGUUGAUCGCGUCGGAAGUGUAAUCUUGGGGCUUAACCCUGAGCGUGCUUUCGAUACGGGUUGACUUGAGGAAGGUAGGGGAGAAUGGAAUUCCUGGUGGAGCGGUGGAAUGCGCAGAUAUCAGGAGGGACACCAGUGGCGAAGGCGGUUCUCUGGGCCUUUCCUGACGCUGAGGAGCGAAAGCGUGGGGAGCGAACAGGCUUAGAUACCCUGGUAGUCCACGCUGUAAACGGUGGGUACUAGGUGUGGGGUCCAUUCCACGGGUUCCGUGCCGUAGCUAACGCUUUAAGUACCCCGCCUGGGGAGUACGGCCGCAAGGCUAAAACUCAAAGGAAUUGACGGGGCCCCGCACAAGCGGCGGAGCAUGCGGAUUAAUUCGAUGCCCACGCGUAGAACCUUACCUGGGUUUGACAUGGAUCUGGGUUGUGCUCAGAGAUGGGUGUGCCUCUUUUGGGGUCGGUUCACUAGGUGGUGCAUGGUCUGUCGUCAGCUNGUUGCGAACUUUGA
rnacentral:rRNA from 1 species